rnacentral:rRNA from 1 species
GGAGUUAGCCGGUGCUUCUUCUGUGAGUGAUGUCCUUCCUGCCGGCUAUUAACCCGCAGGCCUUCUUCCUCACUGAAAGUGCUUUACAACCCGAAGGCCUUCUUCAGACACGCGGCAUGGCUGGAUCAGGGUUGCCCCCAUUGUCCAAUAUUCCCCACUGCUGCCUCCCGUAGGAGUCUGGGCCGUGUCUCAGUCCCAGUGUGGCUGAUCAUCCUCUCAGACCAGCUACGGAUCGUCGCCUUGGUGAGCCGUUACCUCACCAACCAGCUAAUCCGACAUAGGCUCAUCCGAUAGCGCGAGGCCCGAAGGUCCCCCGCUUUCCCCCGUAGGGCGUAUGCGGUAUUAGCCUGGGUUUCCCCAGGUUAUCCCCCACUACCGGGCAGAUUCCUAUGCAUUACUCACCCGUCCGCCGCUCGCCACCAGGGAGCAAGCUCCCCGUGCUGCCGCUCGACUUGCAUGUGUUAGGCCUGCCGCCAGCGUUCAAUCUGAGCCAGGAUCAAACUCUGA